GAAAAAGAAUAAUCAGUCUUAUUCUUAUCGUCCCUUUCUUCUCCAUCUUUCGACUCUCUCUUCCAACCUUCAAAUCUCUCCUCAAAUCUUUGCAUCUGAAAAUCCAAACUUAAUCAAUUCAUCAAUUCAAGCAUCAAUUAUAUUCAAGAUUAAAACCUAUAUGAAAUUAUGAGUUUAAUUUGUUCGUUGAUUACUUGAUUUCGUAGCUUCGCUUCAUCUCCGCAAUUCUCUCUUCUGACAUCUCUGAAACGACACACUCCUUCGGAUUUUAAUUCCCGGACUUUUAUUCUUCAUUCCUUCCCCUCUCCCAAGUAGUUAAUUUCAACAACUGCUCUCAUCAAAUUCAUCCCCCCUUUCAUUAUUCCUGUUUUAACGAUCUCAGAUUUUCCAAAGUAAAUCAAAAUAUCAGAUCUCAUCCUUCGUUGAUCCGUACGUGGGUUUGUUUUAUGGCCCUGAAAGUUGCUAUCCAGUAAUAGAUUUUGAUAAAAAUUUCAUUUCUCAGUUUGAUUAUAAAUUUUAUGUUUGAUUGUUAUUGCAAAUAAAAUGUUGUUGUUGUUGUAGAUUUAUAAGAUGAAUACAGAUGAGCUUUUCUAUUAAGAAGAAAGAAGAAUUUGGUAUUGCUUUCAUCAUUGAAGAACAAGGAACAAAAUGGGUACAUAUCAUUUUUCAGGAUCAAUUUGCAAUAUUGGGUUGGAUAAACAUGUUUGGCAGAAGACACAGCUUAUCCCUGCCCGAUGAGGUUGGAAUGAGCAUUUUUAAUGAAGAUAAAUCAUGGUGAGGGACAAGAUGAAUGUCAAUAUCUUUGUUUAGUACCCCAUAUAAAUGUGGUCAAAAUACUAAGCGUUUAGUUUGUAUACACUGAUUGAACUUGGUUCAUGUUAAGAUUGUCUUGCUCUUUUAGUUUCACAGUGAAGUUCAACACAUAUCAAGUAUUGGAUCUUAUGUACUUAUUAGUAAGAUGUAAUAAAUUAUACGAAGUAUUUCUUAUUUGUUUCAAGAUUUUAUCUCAAGAGAGUGUAAACUCUCUAUAAUGGACAAACAAGUGUUUGAGAA